AGAGUCAGAGAGGGUAGACUAGGCUGUGACAGGCGGUGAGGAAUAGGCUGUGGCUGACAGGGGUGGAGGCAGAGAGAGUCAGAGAGGGUAGACUAGGCUGUGGCUGACAGGGGUGGAGGCAGAGAGGGUCAGAGAGGGUAGACUAGGCUGGGACAGGGGGUGGAGGGAACAGAGGCACACAGCCCAGACCACACAUCAGCAGCAUUCCCACAAGCCUCUGCAACAGAGAUGGACGUAGAGGCGCUAGUGGACCGGACAUUAAGACGUCUUUACCUCUCACAUUCAGCAGCAGAAAGGCCAUGUAUUUUCCCUCCCAUCAACCCUGCUACUCAAAGCAAAGAGAGGGGAGACCCAGCCAAGCUCCCCCUCCGGGAG